CGGAGGAAGUAUUCGAAAUGUGUUAUUUCCUGAAUGCGGCAUCGUUUCUCCCAGGACCAUGCAAACUGCACCCCCCCCCCCCGCCUUUUUUUUAAACAAAACACGGAAACUUGGCAGCCACCUCUCUGAGGUCUGCCCAGCACGUCCCACGCGGUCUUCGUCCAAAUAAUGAGAGAGACAGACGGCACUCUAGGAGCCGUGUCCCAUAAUGAAGCAGUUGUUCAUGGCUCUCACGGGUUGCUUCGGGGACGUGUCUUCCAGUCUCGGAGACGUGAUGAGAGGCAGAGGUUCUCUUCAACUUUUUUUUGUUCUCAUAAUCUUGGCUCUUACUAUCAAGUACAUACUGCUGCUGCUGCUGCUGCUAAGUCACUUCAGUCAUGCCCGACCCUGUGCGACCCCAUUGACAGCAGCCCACCAGGCUCUGCCAUCCUCCCAUGGACUGCAGCCUACCAGGCUCCUCCAUCCAUGGGAUUUUCCAGGCAAGUAUAGUGGAGUGGGGUGCCAUUCCCUUGUAGUUG
rnacentral:lncRNA from 1 species